UCGACAUAUCAGGCAAGGCAGAGAGUUGACAAAACAUCUCCACUACUUGAUCGCUUGACAAUAUUGAAGUGGAUUUUAACUCUGGAACUUUGAAGCGUUUGAAAUCGGCCAAGUUUUUGCUUUCAUGAUCGCUUUUCGGACUCAGGUUUUCUUUGCUCUCCAUUUUCAUUCAGUUUUAAUGUCACACGGGAAGAUUCGAUCGAAUGUAUCUUUUGUUUACUUCGAGUGUCUUCGUUCGCUUUGAAUCCUAGCAUCGCACAAUUAAAUGAUUAUUCCGUUUAUUGCUAUUUCUCUUAAUGAAACAUCCUCAUCUUUAGCCUAAACGUUUAUUUAUACGUGUGUCAAAAAUAAAGCUAAUAGUAGUAAAAAAAAAAGGAUGAAAAAAUGUUCUUGAGUAUAGGCCAAAUACUCGCUUUUUAGUCGAGCUAGCCGAAGGCGGUCCGACAUUGGUUCUAGCAUUCGUUCAAUGUAUCUGUAUCUGGCAACGUCGCGUUUAGUCCCCCAUAAUGCUUUACGGACGGAACCAUGUGACGUCAUAGAUAUCACGUGGUCUGAUAACACAGGAAGCCCAAAGUUCACAUUACGUCAUUAAUAUCACGUUAUCAGACAAAAGUCACAUGUAUCCAUCAUGCCUUACGCUAGCUGUCAGUCUGACGAUCGAACUAUAAGUGAUAAGAAGAAAAGACUGCAUUUGGAGUGAUUUGCUGUUUGAAUACUUUACAAACAUGCUGGGGAAAUUACCUACCAAGACGCUCAAACCUCACAGUCUACGGAACAGAUGCUCAUUUGCAUAAGCCACUGCCCGGCGUCCUCGAUUCCAUGCGACGCCAUUUUAAGUCAUCGUUUCACAGGGAUGAGAUGACUUAUCAAGCUUUCUACCUAGCUCAAUGAUAAUAAACCCAAGAAACGCACUAAAAAUAUUGAUAUGGUGGAAAAGAGCUUCUGAGGAGAAAUGCGACCGAACAGUGCAUUUGGGGAUUUGAGUUAGAAGUCUGUUUUACUCAAAGUUUUCAAGCUGAUCGCCAAACUUCGUAAAUCAUUCACAUUAACAUGAUCAUUUCUUAGAAAUCUUGAAGAUCGGACGUAUUUCCUUCACUAAAAUUUAUCGCAUUAUUGUUCACAACUACACACAGCAAUUUCAAUGGCGCAUUACGACUUUCUAGUCGUUUAAAGCUUCUAUUUAAAAUUAUAAAAUUAAUUGUCAUUGAUGACCUCGGGGUUUACCUUUGAUCUAGCAUACGGUUGAUGUAACAAAGGCUGUCUGAUUUGCAACCAUAGCUAAAAAUGGGUCUUCUACCUUUUUUUUACUAACCUUUUUGGAGCACUGCAACAUGCACUGUGUGGUUUAAAUUAGUUUUGAAACAGAGGACUCUCGAUUUUAACCGCUUUAACCUAAAAAAUUGGGGACUAUCGGUCAAAUGACAGUUUGAUGACUCUUGUCAUAGAGAACCUAUUUUGCAAGUAUUUUUUUUUUUGGUUAAUAUCAAUCAUUGGUCAUAUGUUUACAUUUUGACUCGAUUGAAUCGCUUAAAAGCUGGUAAAACAACUUUCAUAAAUGAAACAGUCUACACUAUCAUAUAAAUGGCGUUUUCCUUCUUCAGGCGGAGUACCAAAAGUAAUGUUUCUAGCUUCAAAGAGGCUUUAGAGGUAUCUUUCGCUGAUUUUCUACCCUCUUUCUUGGUGUCUUACCCCCAUGAUAAGGCGAAGAGGAAAUUUACAAUAAAAAUCAAGCUCGACUAAUUAGCUUAAAAUCUCUAGGACGUAAAUAAAAAUUAUAUUUUGAGCGUU